GACAGAGGGUGCAAACGUUGCUCGGAAUUACUGGGCGUAAAGCGCGUGUAGGCGGACCGAUAAGUCAGGUGUGAAAUCCCCAGGCUCAACCUGGGAACUGCGUCUGAUACUGGAUGGCUUGAAUCCGGGAGAGGGAUGCAGAAUUCCAGGUGUAGCGGUGAAAUGCGUAGAUAUCUGGAGGAAUACCGGUGGCGAAGGCGGCAUCCUGGACCGGCAUUGACGCUGAGGAGCGAAUGCUAGGGGAGCAAACGGG
rnacentral:rRNA from 1 species